AAAGGGGACUCAGAGAGAUCCACUGGGCUCAAUUCCAGGAAACUACCAGUAAAUCUCCUACUGUGGCAACUGCCUGACCCCAUGGUUGUUUGAAAAUUCCUGCCACCUUCUCAUUUGUCCUGGCAGUGACACAGGUCACUGAGUAGAAAUGCCCAAGCUGCCCAGGCAGCAGUGACAGGUAGGGCCAGGAUCUCAGCUGAAUCCUGCCGUGGUUCAGACAUACAGCAAACACACGACCUCAUUCCACCUGAAACCUUUGGGAAGCUCAUUUGGCUAGUGCUUGAAAAAAACACACUGCAGGAUGUCAGACUCUCUUACCAUGAGCUCUGUGUUUGCUGAGGUGCAGUUCCACAGCACCCCAAGAACACAGAGAUGGAGGAAGCUUGUAUGUGGGUGGCCCUUGGGAAAAAAAGAAUGAACACUCGCUUUCUUAGUGUUGAAAUACUUUCUGCAGAGAUGGUAAAGAAAUCUGCUGCUGGUCCAGGGCCUCUGCAUAUCUAAAACCAUAUGAUGUAAAAAGAUGGCUCAGGGCAGAGCCUUGGAUCCAAGCGGUGCAAAUCAGCAUGUGGCAACUCAGAGCAAGCAGUGCUGCAAGGCAAAGAAAGAGUUACUGAUGCAAGUUUUCAUGCCACUGAAAUGUACUGGUCAGGAGAGAGAUCCAUGUUUCUCUUCUGCGAAUACAUGGCCAUUUUGAUAAUAGAAAGUGAGUCCAAGAUGUGAAAGGAAAGAGAUGACUGAAGUGAAAGAGCAAUGCAAAUGCUGAAUUCAUCCCCACAGAUUUUGAUGUCUCAGUCUCUCUCUCUGGAUAACUCAUCUGUGUUGCACUGUCAUUAAAAUACUUGUUACGUGACAUGAGCAAACUUACAGAAAAUUUAUGGAUCUUUUUUUUGCUUUGUCUUUUUCAUACAAGUAUGUAUUUGUGAUCUUAACCUUCCCCCAGUAUUGUUAUGAACUCACUGACCUCACCAACGAGCUUCUCCAUGCUUUUCUUUUAGAAAAGACAUUGAGUGGAAAAAGAUACAGCUUAAAAAGGUUUUCUCAGUGGCUAGAUAUUCUCAGUGUUUGUACAUGAGUCAAAUUCUGUAGUUAAAAAUGUAUCUACAGCAAAGUAAGACGAUUGAAAUGGCAAUGGAGACUUGAAGAGUUCAUGAGCUGAAUGAUGUCUCUGUUCCCUUCUCCACUUUCCUGCACUUUGCUGGUCACACAUGGGAGCAGAUACAGUAUGCAUGCAGUGACUUUAAAGAAGGUGAUGUAGAAUCCCAGGCAGGAAAUCCAAAUCUGAUGACAUAGGAAUGUGGUGCUAAGCAGGAAGGUGUGCAUCUGAGCUGCAGGCCCCAGUUGGGUCUCAAACAGGGUAACUGUGUUGUAGAUUGCAAUAAGGGCCAUUCGCUAUUACUUACAGGACUCAGGAAUGCAUACUAUUUCCUACCAAUAGGAAACUUAACAACAUGUUAAAUAAUUUGGCCGAACAAAAUUUUGUUUUUCUUCACUGUUAUACAUAUGCUGUGUAAACAGUAAAAUUGUUUAGAUCCAUUUCAGAGAAUUAAAAGAGUGUGGAAUGAGUUUGCCUUACUUUGCUUGCCACCUGUUUAAAUAAAAGCAGAACUUACUGUAGGCCCAGC